rnacentral:rRNA from 1 species
GGUAAAUGCGGGCAGGCGGCCGGGGGAAGACGAAGGUGGCAAUCGUUAUUCGGAAUUACUAGGCGGAAAGGGCAGGUAGGUGGUUAAGUAAGUCUGUUGUGGAAGCUCCCGGCUGAACCGGGAGAGGUCAACGGAAACUACUGAACUUGAGUGUAGGAGAGGGUACUGGAAUUCCCGGUGUAGCGGUGAAAUGCGCAGAGAUCGGGAGGAACACCAAUGGCGAAAGCAGGUACCUGGACUAUUACUGACACUAAGCUGCGAAAGCUAGGGGAGCAAACAGGAUUAGAUACCCUGGUAGUC